CCCCACAGGUUCUGCACCGGGGACGAGGAGGAACCAAMGUUUGGUGCUUGUGAGGGUCUCCUGAAAGAGGAACAAAGGGAAGGGUCCAAAUUACAGCCAGGCCAUUGACAUUGUUGCCACAUUUUCCAUGUGCCUGGUCUAGAMUGCUUUGCUAAUAUUCACUACCAUUUGCGAUGCAUUUCAUGCUUCAUCCGAAAACAACCGAAUUCACAAUAAAAUGUAGCGCUGCAUCAGCAGUAAUCCUUUUUGUGUAGAGUUUUUACAGUUGGACUUAAAAAAUCUUACCGCAUUAUAAUUACAUCUGUAUGUAUAAUUAUACAUAUAUAUAAAUGUACAUAUAAUAUUAUAUUAUAAUUACAAAAAAACAAGUUUGCUUUUGAGUUUAAUCAGUUUUUAUGCGCCACAGAUGCUAAUCUUAUAAUCAUAUCAUCAGCAUACCAAUUCUCUAACCAUAGCAUUAACAUUCUAAUUUUACAACUAUAAGAUUUCUUAUGCUAACUUAGCAUGGUGUUAGCAUGCUAAUUAUCCAACCAUCGAAUUAGCUUGCUAAUUUUUCAGUCAUAGUUGUAGAAUGCUAGUUUACCCAGAUGUUGGCAUGCUAAUUAUCCAAACAGUUAUAGCAUGCCAAUUUUUCAACAAUGCGAUUUGCGUCCUAAUCUCUCAACCGUAGCAUCCAAUGCUUUUUGUAAAUAUUUAGGAUUUAGUCUCCGUUUUGAGACAUUUUUUCUGAACAUUUGUGACUUAAAAUAUCUGGCAUCCUAAUCGGAGACACGGCUGAUAAAGAAAGUGUCUGCAGAUUUUUAAGAAAAACUGCUACCUUUUGGGUCGAUUGUCACGUCAAUCAACACAUAAAACGUGUAACAUAAAGCAUAGUUAAUUGUAUUCAACUAGAAAACACACAUUUAAUCCCCAGUUUGUCUCAGGUGUGGCACAAGCUCCUGUUGCCGCAUUUUCGAUGAAAACCUCAGAGACGAGUGAGAACCAGCGAAUGAAAGGAGCAGCAUUACGUAACUGCAUCAUUCAGAGAUGCUGACAAUGCAACCAGACAUGUUAGUCAUUGCUAGGAAAGGAGGGAUGGGGGGGAAUUUGUUUGUGGACUAAUCCAGAAAGGCUUCAGACAAACAGCCGUGCAAAGUGUGGAGGAAGGCAUUUCAAAGCAGCCAUAACCGCAGAGAAUGCUCCGCUAAGCUCACACCUCUGCCAUGAAGGUUACACUCUGAGGAUAACUAGAUGCACAGCAGAGCUGCAUGUAAUUUCAUUUUACAUGACACCCCAGUUAUAUAAAGUUCAGGCAGACAAAGGAGGCGUCCCUGCGGAGGACCUUGACUCGGCUCUUCGGGCUGCAGUUUGAGGCGUUGCGAAAGCAGCAUGUGUCACCAGAUGUAGUGAUGAAGAGUUGCUUUUUUGUCCCAAACCGACGGCGCCGAACACACUACAGCCGACACCACCUUUCCACACAGCGCGAACGAUGUGAGGAGGAUCUAUGUCAGGAUGGCAAACCUGGGUCCAGAGGGAUUCUCAGACAUCUUCAGAGCACAUGUUCGCCGAAAGUGCAGAGGAAUAUUUGACUUGACAGAGCAUGCUGAGGCAAUUCUCCAACAACAAAGUUCUAUUGUGCUCAACUCUGAGCUCCAUUGUUUAAWUCCCUUCUAACUGACGCUCGUCUGUAGAAACUAAAGAUCCCUUUUAUGUAAAAAUAACAGGCUAAAAGAUCCAGAAAAAUUCUAGAAUCGCCAACCAGCUCAGCACUGCAGGACCGCAAUUAGCGGUCCGAGCUAACAGCGGUUAGACCCAGGGGCCUUACAUUGACSCCUSGGUCAAUGURWGGCCCGUCUACUGUCCCUAAAGUAGGAUGAUGACAAUUUAUGACUGACCAAAUUCUUACGUUUYAUUAAAAUUAGAGAAGACUUUCAUUUCAGCGCCUUUCUGUGAAAGAAACUUUCAAACUCUGGGGAAAUAUUUUAGAAAUUCGKGAAAACAUGAAUUGCCUCUCCUAACAACCUUGAAGGUGAAAGAUAAAUAUGAUGCAACCURAAAGAAGCCAGUUUUAUUUCUGGAGAUUAAUUGCAUGCACAUGAAGGUGUCAAAAUGUGAUUCGUUUCUACCACAGAGAGCGAAACUGAAGCUGCGUUUGAUAAAUUUAGUCAAUAAUUGAUUUUGUUUGCYAGAUUGAUUUUGUGGUCAGGGGAGGCAGGUGAGUAAACCUGGUAAGUAAAAAUAAAGCCAUGAGAAAUAAAAUAGGCGCUAACAACGAUGAAAGAAAAUCACUUUGUCCGCUUGGAUUUUCUAUAAACWGUUUUUCUUGUCGGUAAUGUCAACAUUUUAUGGUCAAAAUCUCAGAAUUUACRUAUCGUCUGUUGAAAUACAUGAAAGAAGACCCGGCGAGGCAGUGCAGUACCGUGCCUCAAUGAUAGGAGGCAGUGCUGAUCCCCAUAGACACAAUGAGCAACAGGUGCUCUUCUACGGAUUGAAUAGAUUGUCGAGGGAAAAUACGGAUGGAGCAGAACUGCUCAAAAAGACAACAAAUAGAAAACCUUUUAAGUUUUUUAUUAAUUAAAUUUUAAAAAAAGGUCAAUUCUGUUCCUAAAUGCAAAAUGUUGUCUACAUUUAUUUUCAUGUAAAUGUAAAUACGAGACUAAAUAAUUAUGCAACAAUGUCAGUAGUUUUUAAAAACUUACUUGUGACAUUAAUUUUCUAUAUUGUUGCCUAAAAUCUAGCAAUCUAGCCCUGUUAAACUGAAAUGAUCACUUAUUUCUAAGCAAAACUGCUAAAUUAAAAGAUAAUUUUUUGUUAAAUGUAAAUAUUUGUUAUUUUAAUAAACCCCAAGCAAAUCGUACGUUAUUAUGGCCGAAACCAACCGUGUUUCAGUUUUUGCUCCGUCAAAAUAUGCUACUAAUCAUAAACAUUAUCACUAUUUUCCUAAAUUGGGAGUUUUCGUUAUGCUAUUUAUGAUUUCUUCCAUAAAUCUUGGUAAAAUAUGUUGCCAAUAUCUGUCCACGUCAACAUUGUGAUUAUUUCUUGACGCCUUCAUAGAAAGAAUCUGAAGAUUUCUGUCCCAGUUGAUGCUGAUUUAGCCUAACCGUUUAAAGUGAAACAGAAGUCUGAUGUUUUCCAGCCUGCAGCCUGUAGACGUUUGCUAAUUAUUACUCAUCCUGGGUGACCUUAAACCCAGAGACAUGUUGCAUUGUGGGAAAGUGAAACUUGCCGCCUGAACACGGCUCCAACUCCACGUCGAUCUGUGGAAAUGAGAGAAGGAUGCUGCGUGUAAUCAGCUGUUUACAGCCGCCGCAGCAGCCCCAGCCUAAUAGCUCCAACAUGGCUGACAUGGGCUCAAUUACAUCACCUAAAUGAAUGCCCUCUGUUCCAGAUCACCCAGCUGCAUGUUUCCAGUUUACCCACUCUGGGGUGUGAGAGGAUGAAGAAGAAGAGGAGGAGGUGGGAGCGGCAUCCAGAGGAAGACGCAUGUAAACCCAUUUCCAAACAAACGGGCCAGUGUGCACAGCGCCACCCGGCAUAAUGCCUGAAUGAAUCAACGCGAGCAACCGCACAACAGGACAUGGCGGCCAUUUAACACUGGUGAGCCGAUGGUGAUUAUACUGUACACAUGCAGAAAUGAAACCAGUUAACCAGUUGAUGUUGAGGCUCACACAUGUUUACACUCCAGAAAGUUCUACAUUUUAAUUUAAAGGCCUUUAUGCAGUCAGGAUUUUAUUGAACUGACCUGCAGCCACAUUGUGGGAGUAGAUUUAGUGACGUGAGGGGGAGGGUUAGCCAAAAUUAGAUCCAAAAUCAUACAAAUGUAUAAUUAGUAAUGAUGAAUUAUGAAUGUAAGAAUGUGGAUUUGAUCUGUUAACUAAUAUAUAAACAACAACUAUGCCUGAAUAUGCAUUAAAACACAGUGGACAUCAUCUUAGCACUGCCAUAGAAGCUAACAUCUACCGUCUUCCUUAUCUCCACUUUUUAGGUGUUCAGCCAAUCAACACCAAGGAAAAUAAACGGCACUCCAUGAUUGGCUCCUCUGCAAAUCAUGGAGAAAGUCAGCUAGCAUUGAGCCCAGGGAUCUCUGGGAAAUUUAUCCAGGAAUCCUCACUGUAUAUUAAUGCAUAGAGGAGGGGCCCCAUGGCUCUAUGGGCCCCAAACGUUCCUGGUGCAGACGCGGAGAGGACAUUAGCGUUUCCUGAUGUAAGGAAAGCCCAGAGGGGCAUUUUUUAGUAGAUUACUUAAAAGAUGAAGCGAGCGACCAGAGGGUGACAACCACAAGUUCAUUCCACCAGGUAAUUUUGG